UGUGCUAUGGUAAUUUUAAAAAUUAUUUGUUUUCAUUCUUAGGAUAUUUACAACAAUACCCACAAAAAAUGAAGAAGGAACCUAUUGAUAAGAUCUCAAACAGACGUGUCUCUAUUUUUACACCUGGUUGGGAGAUAUCUGUCGGAGUAAAAACUACUGAUCUAAGCCAACUGAUUCUCAAAGAGUGGAAAAAGAAGAAGCAUGAGCAGUGGCGCAUGAAAAAGGCUGUGGAAGAAUUAAAACCUUCAACAACUCCUCAGAUCAUACGUAUUUGGAAUAAAGUCCAACAAAUAAGAAAAAAGAUUAACAGUGGCCAAACAACUUUUCUAAAUACG